rnacentral:rRNA from 1 species
GAGAGAGAACUGAUCUAUGAGUGUGAGAAGGGCAUUCAGUGGAUGCCUUGGCACCAGGAGGCGAUGAAGGACGUGGCACGCUGCGAAAAGCCGCGGGGAGGGGCGAGCACCCUUUGAUCCGCGGAUGUCCGAAUGGGGCAACCCACCCUUAGGGGUAUCCUGCACUGAAUUCAUAGGUGCGGGAGGCGAACCCGGGGAACUGAAACAUCUCAGUACCCGGAGGAAAAGACAUCAACCGAGAUUCCGCGAGUAGUGGCGAGCGAAAGCGGAGUAGGCCAGUGGUUUUCUGCGAACAACCGGAAGCGUCUGGAAAGGCGCGCCGCAGUGGGUGACAGCCCGUACGGGUAAUGUCGCAGAAGAUCCUUGAGUAGGGCGGGACACGAGCAAUCCUGCCUGAACAUGGGGGGACCACCCGUCCAAGCCUGAAUACUCCCUGGUGACCGAUAGUGCACAAGUACCGUGAGGGAAAGGUGAAAAGCACCCCGACGAGGGGAGUGAAAGAGACCUGAAACCGAAUGCCUACAAGCAGU